rnacentral:rRNA from 1 species
UCGGGAAUUUUGGGCAAUGGGCGAAAGCCUGACCCAGCAACGCCGCGUGAGGGAUGAAGUAUUUCGGUAUGUAAACCUCGAAAGAAUGGGAAGAAUAAAUGACGGUACCAUUUAUAAGCUCCGGCUAACUACGUGCCAGCAGCCGCGGUAAUACGUAGGGAGCAAGCGUUGUUCGGAUUUACUGGGCGUAAAGGGCGCGUAGGCGGCGCGGUAAGUCACUUGUGAAAUCUCUGAGCUUAACUCAGAACGGCCAAGUGAUACUGCUGGGCUAGAGUGCGGAAGAGGCGACCGGAAUUCUUGGUGUUGCGGUGAAAUGCGUAGAUAUCAAGAGGAACACCUGAGGCGAAGGCGGGUUGCUGGGCCGACACUGACGCUGAUGCGCGAAAGCCAGGGGAGCAAACG